rnacentral:rRNA from 1 species
UGGGGAAUAUUGCACAAUGGGCGCAAGCCUGAUGCAGCCAUGCCGCGUGUGUGAAGAAGGCCUUCGGGUGUAAAGCACUUUCAGCGAGGAGGAAGGUGGUGAGCUUAAUACGCUCAUCAAUUGACGUUACUCGCAGAAGAAGCACCGGCUAACUCCGUGCCAGCAGCCGCGGUAAUACGGAGGGUGCAAGCGUUAAUCGGAAUUACUGGGCGUAAAGCGCACGCAGGCGGUUUGUUAAGUCAGAUGUGAAAUCCCCGGGCUCAACCUGGGAACUGCAUUUGAAACUGGCAAGCUAGAGUCUCGUAGAGGGGGGUAGAAUUCCAGGUGUAGCGGUGAAAUGCGUAGAGAUCUGGAGGAAUACCGGUGGCGAAGGCGGCCCCCUGGACGAAGACUGACGCUCAGGUGCGAAAGCGUGGGGCAGCAAACAGGAUUAGAUACCCUGGUAGUCCACGCUGUAAACGAUGUCNAUUUGGAGGUUGUGCCCUUGAGGCGUGGCUUCCGGAGCUAACGCGUUAAAUCGACCGCCUGGGGAGUACGGCCGCAAGGCUAAAA